rnacentral:ncRNA from 1 species
UAUAAAACAUUACAAAACAUAAACGGCAAGCGGACAUGAUGAUAGUUUCUACGGGGCGUAGGUCUAACGGAGGCGUGCAAAGAUUUCCUCAGACCGGACUGAGAUCGGCCCUCGAGUGCAAAGGCAGAAAGGAGCUUGACUGCAAGACCAUCCAUCGAGCAGGGAAGAAAGUCGGCCUUAGUGAUCCGACGGCACCGAAUGAAAGAGCAGUCACUCAACGAAUAAAAUUUACUCUA